AGUUAUUAAAUGUUGGUGGCUCAUCAUGCAAUGCAUUUGAGAAGGGCAUGCUUUCAAAGUUAAGAUUGCUUUCCUGAUUCCUACAGCAAAAAAAAAACUUUAAAAUGCUGGUGGCAAUAUUUUAAAGAGUGCAUCUGAUCGAAAAGAAAGUGAAUGGCGUCAACUGUUCGAAAAUUCGAUUCUUGGAAAUUAACAAGUGGAAGAAGAAGUUUACAAAGUUGUAAUUUAUAAAACUCAGCACAAUUAUAUUAUUAAAAAAUUUAAAUGA
rnacentral:lncRNA from 1 species